rnacentral:rRNA from 11 species
ACCUUGGCUCGAGAGGCCUCGGUAAUCUUGAAAGUGCGUCGUGUUAGGGAUAGAUUAUUGUAAUUAUUAGUCUUGAACGAGGAAUUUCUAGUAAACGCGAGUCAUCAACUCGCAUUGAUUACGUCCCUGUCCUUUGUACACACCGCCCGUCGCUACUACCGAUUGAAUGGCUCGGUGAGGCCUUCGGACU